rnacentral:rRNA from 1 species
CUACGGAGGGUGCAAGCGUUACUCGGAAUCACUGGGCGUAAAGCGCGCGCAGGCGGCUUGAUAAGUUGGAUGUGAAAGCCUACGGCUCAACCGUAGAACUGCAUCCAAAACUGUCAGGCUAGAGUGUGGGAGAGGAAGAUGGAAUUAGUUGUGUAGGGGUAAAAUCCGUAGAGAUAACUAGGAAUACCAAAAGCGAAGGCAAUCUUCUGGAACACUACUGACGCUGAGGCGCGAAGGCGUGGGGAGCAAACAGGAUUAGAAACCCGGGUAGUCC